rnacentral:lncRNA from 1 species
AUGUGUACGUUUCCGUUCGCGUCUAAUAAUUCAUUUAUCUCCCUUUCGUGCAGAUCGGGAGGAAGCAGACACACACAAACACGCACACAAAGAAGUGCCGAGCCAUGCAAAUCGAGCGAGAGCACAAAUCAACUUCUGAUUACAUCGGCUCCGAUUUUUCCCCCCUUCGUGCAACACAGCAGACGCACACAUUUUUUUUUUUUUUUUUCAGCACAAAUGAUGCUAUGUGAUGAGGAGGGAGGAAGAGAGGGGAGGAGGGGGGGGAAACCCUGCUCUGCCGAAGAACAGAAAUUCGAAGAAUUAAAAUUGGGAGGAGAGAGAAACCGGGACUUUUCUUUCCCCUCCUCCCCCCCCUCCUUUGAAGCUGAGAGGAGGGCUACUGCCCCGGGACACUGCAGGAGUUUAGGAAAAAAAAAAAAAAAAUCUGAGAAAGAUCAAAAACCGGCUCCGCAAGUCCCAGCGGCGACCUCUCCCCCCCGCCGCAUUCCCCAAAGUGCGCGGCGCAAACCCGGAGCGGAGCCGGGCGAGGCGGCGGAGGGGACCCGGGGGGGUCCCGGCUGGUGGCCCUGUCACCCCCGCUGCCUGUCCCCGUCCUGCUCCGGGACGGGAGGCAGAGCCCAGCUUCCUUCCCUACCCGUUUCCCUGCUUCUUUUUCCCUCAGCGCAGCCCCGGCUUCAGGCUCAGCACGGAGAGGGCUGGAGGAGAUUGCGGGAAUUGCGCUGAGGCGAUGCUGAAAGCCUCCGCGAUGCCCCACUUGGCACCUUCCUGGUGUGUCCCACCCAGCAAGGGCACAAGGAAGGCUCCAGCUCUGGCUCCCCUGCUAAAGAAACUCUCAGAUGCAGGCUGUCUUGGCUGUUUUUCUGAUGGAGAUGAGAUCAUCUCAGCUUCACGCUGCGUCUUCCCUCCUGACAGUCGCGUGCUGGCUGCGUGCGUGCAUGGACAUGGAGUUCCUGCUGGAAAGGCAGUGCUGAUGUGAGGCUCUGGUUGAGAAAUGCACCUCGCAGAUGACUGGCUUGGAAACAAUGCAGGGAAAAUGAAAGGGGGAAUUAAGCAAAUGCUUUAUUUUGUAUUUUUGUAUUAUUUUUUUUUUACCCCUUCUUUAGUUUUUCUAAUCAUCAAAGCAAGGUCAUAAUAUACCUGUGCCCCUCUUCUGCCUGCCUCUGAUUUUGCAAGGGCAGCUGUAGAAUCUGGCAGUAGAUAAACCUACGUCUGGCAUUCAUGAGCCUGGAUUAUCAAAUCUAGCUCCUUCCCAGCUGUGGGUUCUCCCCAAGUGGAAAUAUUAAAAGAGGAGGGAGAGCUUGUAUCGAAGUCUGAACUGGACACAUGCUUAAUAUGCAAAACUUGAAAACAUAUGGAUGGAGUAGAAACUCUGCCCAUAACUGGUCAGGAGGAUUUGCUUGGGUCUGGAGUUUCCCUUGCGAGAGCCUCUGCAUUGUGGAGCUCACCCCAUGCUCCUGAGCAAGCACUCGGCCCCGGCAUCAGAGCCGGCCAAGAGUGAUGGAGAGAUGCAAAUGAAAAGCGAGUGGGUCUUCCUGAGAAAUCUUUGAACACGCAUCCAAAAAAUGAAUGUGUUUUCUUCUAAUUAGGAGCGUUCGUUAUAUCUCAUGGCGAUCUACAAAACAAGCCACAUGCCAGUUAUUGUUGGUACAAGCACAACAAUUCUGACUGUGGGAAAAAAAUAUUUCCAGGCAUGUAGGACACAAAAUGUACUAAAGGCAUUUUA